rfam:Myotis brandtii contig288591, whole genome shotgun sequence.
GCCGGUGUGGCUCAGUGGUAAGAGCGUCGGCCUACGGACUGAAGGGUCGCUGGUUCAGUUCCCGUCAAGGGCA